rnacentral:rRNA from 1 species
GACUCUCGGCAAUGGAUAUCUCGGCUCUCGCAUCGAUGAAGAGCGCAGCGAAAUGCGAUACGUGGUGCGAAUUGUAGAAUCCCGCGAACCAUCGAGUCUUUGAACGCAAGUUGCGCCCGAGGCCAGCCGGCCAGGGCACGUCCGCCUGGGCGUCAAGCGUUGCGUCGCUCCGUGCC